GUGGGACAGCAGAGGCUGAGGUUUAUGCAGAGAAAAUCAGUAUGAGACUUUUUUCCCCAGUGUUUUGAACUUUGUGUUCGUUUACAUCUGACAUUACAAAGCCUGAAUGUAAAAUACUGCCAAGUCAUGAGUGUAACAAAUCUGCACCUACUUGCAUGUAAGGUGGUCAGAAUUUGGGCCUGGGAAUAUUUUCUCCCUGCGGACUGUCAGUAGUCUGGCAAAUAUGAGUGCACACCCUCACCCAGAAUAAUGUUAGGGCCUCAUUCAUGUUUGGCUUAAUAUACUUUGGAAAAGGAAAUACCUUGUGACAUUCUUCAGUGGCCUCUAUGGACAAAUAAAUAAAAGAUUUAAUGGAUCCUUCACAGUAGGACAUUGGCAACCAAGAAGGACCCUGAGGACUGGGUUGUUUAAAUUAGGCAGAACUUGGGAUAUUUUCAGAGCUCUGUAAGAGAUGAGGAAGAGGUCUUUCAUCCACCCAAGUUCCUGGGGCUCUGAGGGAAAAAACUGCACCAUGUUUAGCACAGGGAACCACUGUUUUCCUUGAGUGUUUUGAGGCUGUAUGUCUGCAUCAUAUAGUCUGGCCUCAUUCCAUCAAAUACAUUCCUCUGAAUUGGAUGCUAGAUGGUAAUGGCUUUUAGUAUGCCAGCAGGUAAUUAAUUAUGAUAAAUCUGCAAAUUGUGUAUUGUAUCAAUAGGCUGUAUAGAGCCAACAGGGUGCACAUGACUAAAAAUAUAGUGAUUACAGGUCUGCAGUAGUAAUGAGCACUGUGGCAGUAUACCACACUGAGUCACUGGGAGCUGUGCUGUCAAUUACUUGUGGAUUAAGGACCACUGCGAUUUUAACCAGAUCCCUUAUGACCUGAAUGGAAAGCCCCAAAGGGUUUUGUGGCACUGCCUCUUACAAAUGCUCCAUGACAGAUCUCUUUUCAAUUCUUAUUCUUUCUUUUUUCCUUUUUUUCUUUUCUCUUUUUUUCAUUUUGAAAGAAAAUUAAACUUCAAAGUAGCAGCCUAACUUAUGAUUAAUAUACCUUACAUAAUAUAUACCUUACUUUUUUCUUGUCCCAUCCAUUAGCCUUCACUGUGGCUUCUGCACCUGGAUGCUGAAGGGAAGGAGAGGGCGGAGGGGAACAGAUGAUGAGUGCCAAAAGAAAAAAUAAUUGUGGUGAUAAGGAGUUCUUGGAGAAAGAAUCCUUUCCCUCAUAGUUUUCCAACCUCUUUUGGCUUACAUGUUAGCCUCUCACUGUUAUUUGUGUGUGCAUAUAUACAUAUGUGUGCGCAUGCAUAUUAAGCACAUUGUUAUAUGCAAAUAGGAUGCUUCUUCAUGUCAACACAUCAAGAACUCAGAACCAUUUUGUCAACAUACAUAAGCUAUUAGACUAUCCACAGAUGACGUCUUUGAGGUCAUCUUGUGUAGCCAGAAUGAAUUUCUCUUUAGCAGUACAGAUGGAUACUAGGAAAGCCAGCAGAUGUAUUGUAGCUAAUCAGAAAGAGGCUCAGCAGGGUAACUAAAAUCUCUGCUAGAAUUCAUAUCCCUUCACAGAGUUUAAUUAAAGAGCUUUGUGUGCAUCCUUUUGUUUUAUCUGUUGCCAGUGUUUUGUCUCCUAUUGUGGCAGUUCCCUCAAAUAACCAUCAAUUUGCUGUGAUAACCUAAUGAGGAGAACAAGCAGCACUGUUUAAUUAUAUAAAAAUGAUAAUGAGCUUUGGCUGCCAGGGAGUUAAGGAGCUGCUGCUGGCCACUGGAAUACAAAAGAGCUGGUGCCAAAGGGGCCCCUGGAAGUCUGUGGCACUUCAGACUUCAUUGCCGAGCAGCAGCAACUGGCUUGAGCAAGCAGCAGGCCAGCAGAGCUUCCUUUGGGGAGAGCUGGGAUCAUGCUGAAGUAAGCAUGGGGCGGGGAGCAUCAGAAAACAGGAACAGCAGUGGAACAGAAGAAGAUUAAUUGCUGAAGCCCUGUUUCUUAAAGCAGAGAACCAGCAAAGAAAAACAUUUUCACCCAAGCACAGAUGAAAAGAAGACACAACCACCAUGCCACACAGAACCCGGGAGCUAUCUGACUUUGACUGGGUGGUGCGCUGGCAGUCUGGUUCAGUCAAACAAUUUUACUUACUCAUUUCCUGCAAAUUUUUGAUGCUUUGAGAUUCUAGAAGUGUGUUUUAAUAAUGAGGUAAAUAACUGUAUAAACGUCAUUCACUGUAUAUUGGUCAGAAAGCAGGUGCAUACAGAUGAAUGCCAGACACCAGUUAAU